rnacentral:rRNA from 1 species
CAAUGGCGUAUAUUAAAGUUGUUGCAGUUAAAAAGCUCGUAGUUGGAUUUGUGGCGUACGGUGUGUUCCGGGCACUUGUUGUCUGAGUAACCUGCUGUUGCCAUCCUUGGGUGGAACCUGUGUGGCAUUAGGUUGUCGUGCAGGGGAUGCCCAUCAUUUACUGUGAAAAAAUUAGAGUGUUCAAAGCAGGCUUAUGCCGUUGAAUAUAUUAGCAUGGAAUAAUGAGAUAGGACUUUUUUGCUAUUUUGUUGGUUUGCGCAAAGAGGUAAUGAUUAAUAGGGACAGUUGGGGGUAUUCGUAUUCCAUUGUCAGAGGUGAAAUUCUUGGAUUUUUGGAGGACGAACUACUGCGAAAGCAUUUACCAAGGAUGUUUUCAUUAA